CACGGAUCCAGAGUUUGAUUAUGGCUCAGGAUGAACGCUAGCGGCAGGCUUAACACAUGCAAGUCGAGGGGCAUCGUGGAGUAGCAAUACUCUGACGGCGACCGGCGAAAGGGUGAGUAACGCGUGAGCAACAUGCCCGGGACUGGGGGAUAGUCGAUGGAAACGUCGCGUAAUACCCCGUAACAACAGAGGCCGCAUGACCUUUGUUUAAGAGAUUUAUCGAUUCCGGAUUGGCUCGCGUCCCAUUAGGCAGUUGGCGGGGUAACGGCCCACCAAACCGACGAUGGGUAGGGGUUCUGAGAGGAAGGUCCCCCACAUUGGAACUGAGACACGGUCCAGACUCCUACGGGAGGCAGCAGUGAGGAAUAUUGGUCAAUGGACGGAGGUCUGAACCAGCCAAGUCGCGUGGGGGAAGAAGGUCCUACGGAUUGUAAACCCCUUUUGCCGGGGAGUAAAGGGCGCCACGGGUGGCGCGUUGAGAGUACCCGGAGAAAAAGCAUCGGCUAACUCCGUGCCAGCAGCCGCGGUAAUACGGAGGAUGCGAGCGUUAUCCGGAUUUAUUGGGUUUAAAGGGUGCGCAGGCGGCGGCUCAAGUCGGCGGUUAAAGUUCCGGGCUCAACCCGGUGAUGCCGUCGAUACUGUGUCGCUGGAGUGGGAUCGAGGCAUGCGGAAUGCGUGGUGUAGCGGUGAAAUGCAUAGAUAUCACGCAGAACUCCGAUUGCGAAGGCAGCGUGCCAGGUCCCUACUGACGCUGAGGCACGAAAGCGUGGGUAUCGAACAGGAUUAGAUACCCUGGUAGUCCACGCGGUAAACGAUGAAUACUGGUUGUCCGGGGCGAUCGGGUCCUGGGCGACAUCAGCGAAAGCGUUAAGUAUUCCACCUGGGGAGUACGCCGGCAACGGUGAAACUCAAAGGAAUUGACGGGGGCCCGCACAAGCGGAGGAACAUGUGGUUUAAUUCGAUGAUACGCGAGGAACCUUACCCGGGCUCAAACGGCGCAGGACGCGUGCGGAAACGCUCGUUCCCUUCGGGGCCUGUGCCGAGGUGCUGCAUGGUUGUCGUCAGCUCGUGCCGUGAGGUGUCGGCUUAAGUGCCAUAACGAGCGCAACCCCCAUUCCCAGUUGCCAUCGGGUGAUGCCGGGCACUCUGGGGAGACUGCCGGCGCAAGCUGCGAGGAAGGCGGGGAUGACGUCAAAUCAGCACGGCCCUUACGUCCGGGGCGACACACGUGUUACAAUGGCGGAGCACAGAAGGAAGCUGCCUGGCGACAGGCCGGCCGAUCCCCAAAAUCCGUCUCAGUUCGGAUCGGAGUCUGCAACCCGACUCCGUGAAGCUGGAUUCGCUAGUAAUCGCGCAUCAGCCAUGGCGCGGUGAAUACGUUCCCGGGCCUUGUACACACCGCCCGUCAAGCCAUGGAAGCUUGGAGUGCCUGAAGCGCGUGACCGUCAAGGAGCGCUCUAGGGUAAGACAAGUGACUGGGGCUAAGUCGUAACAAGGUAGCCGUAAGCUUCAC
rnacentral:rRNA from 1 species